UACGUAGGAGACGAGCGUUGUCCGGAAUUACUGGGCGUAAAGCGCGUGUAGGCGGAUGAGCAAGUCUGCUGUGAAAGCUCCUGGCUUAACCGGGAGUAGUCGGUGGAAACUGCUAAUCUGGAGGACGGUAGAGGCUGGUGGAAUUCCCGGUGUAGUGGUGAAAUGCGUAGAGAUCGGGAGGAACACCUGUGGCGAAGGCGGCCAGCUGGGCCGGACCUGACGCUGAGACGCGAAGGCGUGGGGAGCGAACGGG
rnacentral:rRNA from 1 species